rnacentral:lncRNA from 1 species
AUGAGAUCACAUUGUGUUGAUUCUGAUGAUGGUAUAUUAUUGAAUUGCUUGCUCAAAGACCUAAGGCUGUUUUUGCAAGCCACUGCAGAGUAAGCUCAUGAGAACAGAUGUAGCAUAUUCUAAAUUUCAAUUCAAUGCAAAUGACACUAAGCUAUGGGUUACAAUAGUCAAACAUAAUCACUUACCACAUGAAGACCUGUUCAGGUUCUUUAUCUUUAGCAGCAAAUGGCAAUGAACAAAAUUCGUUGUAAAUGAUGAUCAAACAUCUGUUGUGAAGCAGCAUCAGCAAACUUUGUUUACUUUAAUAGUAUUAACCUUUAAUUUUAAAGGCGUAUAAAUUCGGUUAACAAUUGGUCACGUGUACUGCAAAUCUGGCCCUUUAAAAACAGGGGUGUAACACGAUAAACAUUAUAUGUAUUAUGAAAUUAAAAAAAAAAAUGAAUCAUUGACAAUCAUUCAUUACUUUUGGCAUUUAACAUCUAAUGGUAGACAAAGCAAUUAUAACUAAUUUUUUAUGUAAGUUUUUUUUUUUUGUUUUAGGAUUAAAAAAAUUGCUUCCUGUCAGUAAAUUAAUUUGGUUUCAGUUUUUAUAUUUAUCUUUAGUUUUUUAAAAUUUUGAGAGUUCAAUUUGUUUCAGUUUUUUUACUAAAAUGCUUUUUUUUUUUUAAAUUAAAUUACAUUUGAACUCUUCAAAACUAAUAUGAACACAAAUUGAAAAUGCCAUUACAAAACUAAACUAAAAGGUAAAAAUUAAUCAUAAAAAAGAGUAGAUAAUUAGCUUUUUCCGUUACCAAUCUGACGAUUAAAAAAACUAUCAUAAAUCCUUAAUCCACAAAGAUACAAAAAUAUCUUUCAUAC